UACGAAGGGGGCUAGCGUUGCUCGGAAUCACUGGGCGUAAAGCGCACGUAGGCGGACUCUUAAGUCGGGGGUGAAAUCCUGGAGCUCAACUCCAGAACUGCCUUCGAUACUGGGAGUCUUGAGUUCGGGAGAGGUGAGUGGAACUGCGAGUGUAGAGGUGAAAUUCGUAGAUAUUCGCAAGAACACCGGUGGCGAAGGCGG
rnacentral:rRNA from 1 species